rnacentral:piRNA from 1 species
AGUAAGGCAUCUGCAUCAUUUGAGUC